CGGCGGCCGUAACUAUAACGGUCCUAAGGUAGCGAAAUUCCUUGUCGGGUAAGUUCCGACCUGCACGAAUGGCGUAACGACUUCCCCGCUGUCUCAAAUGUGGACUCAGCGAAAUUGAAUUGUCUGUGAAGAUGCAGACUUCCCGCGGUUAGACGGAAAGACCCCAUGCACCUUUACUACAACUUCGCACUGGCAUCAGGAUUGCGAUGUGCAGGAUAGGCGGUAGGCUUUGAAGCGGGGACGCUAGUCCUCGUGGAGCCAUCCUUGAGAUACCGCCCUUCGCACUCUUGAUGUCUAACCGCGGCCCGUUAUCCGGGUCCGGGACCUGCGUGGUGGGUAGUUUGACUGGGGCGGUCGCCUCCCAAACAGUAACGGAGGCGCGCGAAGGUUGGCUCAGAGCGGUCGGAAAUCGCUCGUUGAGUGCAAUGGCAGAAGCCAGCCUGACUGCAAGACUGACAAGUCGAGCAGAGACGAAAGUCGGCCAUAGUGAUCCGGUGGUCCCGAGUGGAAGGGCCAUCGCUCAACGGAUAAAAGGUACGCUGGGGAUAACAGGCUGAUGAUGCCCAAGAGUCCAUAUCGACGGCAUCGUUUGGCACCUCGAUGUCGGCUCAUCUCAUCCUGGGGCUGGAGCAGGUCCCAAGGGUACGGCUGUUCGCCGUUUAAAGAGGUACGUGAGCUGGGUUUAGAACGUCGUGAGACAGUUCGGUCCCUAUCUGCCGUGGGUGUUGGAGACUUGAGAGGAGCUGCCCCUAGUACGAGAGGACCGGGGUGGACGUUCCACUGGUGGACCAGUUGUCGUGCCAACGGCAGUGCUGGGUAGCUAUGAACGGACAGGAUAAACGCUGAAGGCAUCUAAGCGUGAAGCCCCCCUCAAAACAAGGUCUCCCUUGAGAGCCGUGGAAGACCACCACGUCGAUAGGCCGGAGAUGUAAGUGCAGCAAUGCAUUCAGUUGACCGGUACUAAUGGCUCGAUAGGCUUGAUUUG
rnacentral:rRNA from 1 species